UACGAGGGGGGCAAGCGUUGUUCGGAAUUAUUGGGCGUAAAGGGCGCGUAGGCGGUUUGACAAGUCUGAUGUGAAAUCUAUGGGCUCAACCCAUAGCCUGCAUUAGAAACUGUCGGGCUUGAGUAUGGGAGAGGUGAGUGGAAUUUCCGGUGUAGCGGUGAAAUGCGUAGAUACGUCGAAGGAACACCUGUGGCGAAAGCGGCUCACUGGACCAUAACUGACGCUGAGGCGCGAAAGCUAGGGGAGCAAACAGG
rnacentral:rRNA from 1 species